rnacentral:rRNA from 1 species
UUCUGGCUCAGGACGAACGCUGGCGGCGUGCCUAACACAUGCAAGUCGAACGGACGAGGGGAGCUUGCUCCCCAAGUUAGUGGCGGACGGGUGAGUAACACGUGAGCAACCUGCCCUUCGGAGGGGGACAACAGCGGGAAACUGCUGCUAAUACCGCAUAAUGUAUCCUGGAGGCAUCUCCGGGAUACCAAAGAUUUUAUCGCCGAAGGAUGGGCUCGCGUCUGAUUAGAUAGUUGGUGGGGCAACGGCCCACCAAGUCUGCGAUCAGUAGCCGGACUGAGAGGUCGAACGGCCACAUUGGGACUGAGAUACGGCCCAGACUCCUACGGGAGGCAGCAGUGGGGAAUAUUGGGCAAUGGGGGCAAACCCCCUGACCCAGCAACGCCGCGUGGAGGAAGAAGGCUUUCGGGUUGUAAACUCCUUUGACGAGGGACGAUGAUGACGGUACCUCGAAAACAAGCCACGGCUAACUACGUGCCAGCAGCCGC